rnacentral:rRNA from 1 species
AUACGGAGGAUGCGAGCGUUAUCCGGAUUUAUUGGGUUUAAAGGGUGCGUAGGCUGUGCGUUAAGUCAGGGGUGAAAGGCUCGGGCUCAACCGGAGCAGUGCCGUUGAUACUGGUUGUCUUGAAUGCGGUCAAGGCCGGCGGAAUGUGGCGUGUAGCGGUGAAAUGCAUAGAUAUGCCACAGAACACCGAUAGCGAAGGCAGCUGGCCGGGCCUGCAUUGACGCUGAGGCACGAAAGCGUGGGGAUCGAACAGGAUUAGAUACCCUGGUAGUCCACGCUGUAAACGAUGGACACUCGUUGUCGGCGACAGACAGUCGGCGGCCAAGCGAAAGUGAUAAGUGUCCCACCUGGGGAGUACGGUCGCAAGGCUGAAACUUAAAGGAAUUGACGGGG